GCUCGUGUGACGGUGCCGCUCGCUGACCUGGGAGGCCGAGGGGUUCUGCUGGCCCGAGGGGUCAGAGCGGGCAGGAGGGUCCCAGCGCUGGAGGCAGGGGAGGGAGAUGGGGAAAAUCAGAGACAGGGGUAGGAACCAGGGGUAAGAAUGUGGCUACGGCCCGGCCAGACAGUGUCAGUGGGGAAACCCCAGGGUAUAGAGGGGUUAAAAGCGACAGCAGUGGGGGUGAGAAAUCUGCAGUGCUUGCAAAAAAGGAUGGUCAGGGGGCUCCCCCCCGCCGCCCCGGGGGAUGCUACACACAGCACCCGCUCCCAGCGCUGGGUUCUCACACAGUUGCACCCCAAGGCCCAGAUGCUUGGAGCUGCUAAAGGAGCCCCGAUUCUGUGCAAUAUUUCACAUACCCCCCUCUGCUCCCAUAGUUUUAGUGUUUAAAGUAAUCCCUGAUCAGUCGCUAUCUCUGCAUAAUGCCUCAUUGGCGCAGGAAGGCUCUUGGUCUGCUUAGGGAUCCAUGAAUGGGAACCGUUCUGGUGGCAUCUAAGUGGUCUGGGAUGUAGGAGACCCAGGUUUAAGCAGAGGAGGAAAGCAGGUUUGACCAGGCGUCUCCCACAUCCCAGGUAAGUGCUGAAAGAUUGAAGGCAGGACGGCAACACGGAGGGAGGGGGAGGGGGAAGGAGUGAAGAGGGACAGGGGGUGUAAGUAAGGUGAGAUUUACGGGGGAACAGAGGUGUGUGAGGCCAGGUGCAGGAGGGGGACGCAGGGAGCAGGAGGGGUUGGUGGCAGGGGCUAGUGGUUGCACUGAAGGGAGGAUGGGGUGAUGCAGGGGAAUGGGGGGAUUAUGGGGAACAGGGCUGGAAUAGAGGGAAGAUGUGAGUGGGGGGCACUGCGAUGGAAAGCGGGGGAUGUGUGGACGGGAGGCUGUGAGAAGACUGGCUGGGGAAGGGAGAACCAGGGGGGAGGGACAAGGCAGCUCCCCUGCCCAUUGGGGUAAGGAAGGUUGUGGGGGCUGCCCUGCCCAGCAGCCAGCAGGGAUUUGUUCCCCUACGAAUGGCCAAACCAGCAGUGUGGGGUGGGCAGAGUGACUGCCUGUCCUGGAGACUUCCUAUGAAGGGCUGAGAAUUUACAAGGCAAAUGUCCACCCAGAACCCCUCCCCCCAACACACCCUGCUCCCAAUUUCAAUAUUUGUGUUUAAAGACAAUCUCCUUAUUUGGAGGAUCUGAUUCCUGGGCUGACGGCACUGAACAGGGGCUGGUCUGAUUUCGGCGCAGGAUUCGGUGUCCAACCAGAGUCACUGUGAGCUGCAAGGAGUGGAAUUGCGUUUGGUUCGGGUUCAGUGGCAGUCGGCUGAGAAAUCACGUCCACGUGUCGCUCCAGAUCAUCCAGUCUUCCAGGGGACAGGGAAGAGAAUUGACUGUGAUGGAGCCAGCUCAGGUGCUGGUGACCUUCGAGGAGGUGGCUGUGUAUUUCAC